rnacentral:rRNA from 1 species
CAUGCUAGUUGUACGUCUAACGUAGCGAAAAGCUCCGUAACACGUGGCCAACACUACCCUGUGGAGGACAAUAACCUCGGGAAACUGAGGCUAAUAGUCCACGCGACACUCGAGUUGGAAUACUGGGUGGCAGAAACGCUCCGGCGCCACAGGAUGUGGCUGUGGCUGAUUAGGUAGACGGUGGGGUAACGGCCCACCGUGCCGAUAAUCAGUACGGGUUGUGAGAGCAAGAGCCCGGAGACGGAAUCUGAGACAAGAUUCCGGGCCCUACGGGGCGCAGCAGGCGCGAAACCUUUACACUGCACGCCAGUGCGAUAAGGGGACCCCGAGUGCGAGGGCAUACUAGCCCUCGCUUUUCUGAACCGUAGGGAGGUUCAGGAACAAGAGCUGGGCAAGACCGGUGCCAGCCGCCGCGGUAAUACCGGCAGCUCGAGUGAUGACCGCUGUUAUUGGGCCUAAAGCGUCCGUAGCUGGCCACGCAAGUCCGUCGGGAAAUCCACUAGCUCAACUAGUGGGCGUCCGGCGGAAACUGCGUGGCUUGGGACCGGAAGGCUCGAGGGGUACGUCCGGGGUAGGAGUGAAAUCCCGUAAUCCUGGACGGACCACCGAUGGCGAAAGCACCUCGAGAAGACGGAUCCGACAGUGAGGGACGAAAGCUGGGGUCUCGAACCGGAUUAGAUACCCGGGUAGUCCCAGCCGUAAACGAUGCCAGUUAGGUUUGGCGCGGGCUACGAGCUCGUGCUGUGCCGCAGUGAAGACGAUAAACUGGCCGCCUGGGAAGUACGUCCGCAAGGAUGAAACUUAAAGGAAUUGGCGGGGAAGCACUACAACCGGAGGAGCCUGCGGUUUAAUUGGAUUCAACGCCGGGA